UAUUGGUCAAUGGGGGAAACCCUGAACCAGCAACGCCGCGUGAGGGAAGACGGUUUUCGGAUUGUAAACCUCUGUCCUCUGUGAAGAUGAUGACGGUAGCAGAGGAGGAAGCUCCGGCUAACUACGUGCCAGCAGCCGCGGUAAUACGUAGGGAGCGAGCGUUGUCCGGAUUUACUGGGUGUAAAGGGUGCGUAGGCGGCUUGGCAAGUCAGUAGUGAAAUCCAUGGGCUUAACCCAUGAACUGCUAUUGAAACUGUCGAGUUUGAGUGAAGUAGAGGUAGGCGGAAUUCCCGGCGUAGCGGUGAAAUGCGUAGAGAUCGGGAGGAACACCAGUGGCGAAGGCGGCCUACUGGGCUUUAACUGACGCUGAGGCACGAAAGCGUGGGUAGCAAACAGG
rnacentral:rRNA from 1 species